UCGAAAGCAAAAGUAGAAGACGCUUUCAAUAUCCAGACACGAAUAUUUCGUGGUCCUUUCGAGGCAACAUUGGAUUACCUUUUGUCAUUUUACUGUUCUUUCGUGUUAGUAUUGUUGUUAUAAGCGAUGGGGCUCCGCAGCAGGUCUUCGGAUAUGACGCUGAGAAAAGAGAGACGGCUUCAUAUGAAACCACUCCCACCUCCAUUCCACAGCUGCAAAAGAUAAUAAAUUGGGUUAUGUACAGUGAACUCCUGAGAAGUUUCAGGCAAAACUCAAAAAGCACCUCCCUUUUAGAGCCUCCACAGUAGAUAACUGCUACUGGUCUUAUUAUGAAUAGGAUGGACUGUAGUAAAGACUUCAAGGCCUGUUUCCAAGGACACCACCAUGGCACAAUGCAUGCAUAAUGGAAACUAGAACUUUUUCAAGAAAUGUCAACAAUUAUUGGAACCUUACCUUAGAUGCGACAAGCAAGUAAGGCAAUGUCAGACGUUUGAUUUUCAAAUGACCUGUUUUCAAAUGUAUAAUAUUUACUUAAUACACAUUUUAGGAAUGCUUCUGUUUGAAAUGAUGUAUUAUACUGUACAUUAAGUGCAAAUGUAAUAAAGCACCUUCUUUACAAAAA